rnacentral:ncRNA from 2 species
UACGGGGGGGGCAAGCGUUGUUCGGAAUUACUGGGCGUAAAGGGUGCGUAGGCGGUCCGCUAAGUUGGAUGUGAAAACUCUGGGCUUAACCCAGAGCCUGCAUUCAAAACUGACGGGCUAGAGUUCUGGAGGGGGUAGCGGAAUUCCUGGUGUAGCGGUGAAAUGCGUAGAUAUCAGGAGGAACACCGGUGGCGAAGGCGGCUACCUGGACAGAAACUGACGCUGAGGCACGAAAGCUAGGGGAGCAAACAGG